GUCGCAUGCUCCCGGCCGCCAUGGCGGCCGCGGGAAUUCGAUUAGAGUUUGAUCAUGGCUCAGAUUGAACGCUGGCGGCAGGCCUAACACAUGCAAGUCGAGCGGUAGAGAGAAGCUUGCUUCUCUUGAGAGCGGCGGACGGGUGAGUAAUGCCUAGGAAUCUGCCUGGUAGUGGGGGAUAACGCUCGGAAACGGACGCUAAUACCGCAUACGUCCUACGGGAGAAAGCAGGGGACCUUCGGGCCUUGCGCUAUCAGAUGAGCCUAGGUCGGAUUAGCUAGUUGGUGGGGUAAUGGCUCACCAAGGCGACGAUCCGUAACUGGUCUGAGAGGAUGAUCAGUCACACUGGAACUGAGACACGGUCCAGACUCCUACGGGAGGCAGCAGUGGGGAAUAUUGGACAAUGGGCGAAAGCCUGAUCCAGCCAUGCCGCGUGUGUGAAGAAGGUCUUCGGAUUGUAAAGCACUUUAAGUUGGGAGGAAGGGCAUUAACCUAAUACGUUAGUGUUUUGACGUUACCGACAGAAUAAGCACCGGCUAACUCUGUGCCAGCAGCCGCGGUAAUACGAAUCACUAGUGAAUUCGCGGCCGCCUGCAGGUCGACCAUAUGGGAGAGCUCCCA
rnacentral:rRNA from 1 species